ACAGUAGUUCAGAACAUUAAGAUGAGUUUUUUUCUUCUUCUU
rnacentral:sRNA from 1 species